rfam:Helianthus annuus linkage group 17, whole genome shotgun sequence.
GUCCCCCCAUUGUGGCCAUCUAAUAAAAUUGGAACGAUAUAGAGAAGAUUAACAUGAUCCGCGUGUAAGAAUGACAAGUACAAAGCCAGAAUAGUUAAAAGAAAUA